ACGCUGGCGGCAGGCCUAACACAUGCAAGUCGAGCGGUAGCACAGGAGAGCUUGCUCUCUGGGUGACGAGCGGCGGACGGGUGAGUAAUGCCUAGGAAUCUGCCUGGUAGUGGGGGAUAACGUUCGGAAACGGACGCUAAUACCGCAUACGUCCUACGGGAGAAAGCAGGGGACCUUCGGGCCUUGCGCUAUCAGAUGAGCCUAGGUCGGAUUAGCUAGUUGGUGAGGUAAUGGCUCACCAAGGCGACGAUCCGUAACUGGUCUGAGAGGAUGAUCAGUCACACUGGAACUGAGACACGGUCCAGACUCCUACGGGAGGCAGCAGUGGGGAAUAUUGGACAAUGGGCGAAAGCCUGAUCCAGCCAUGCCGCGUGUGUGAAGAAGGUCUUCGGAUUGUAAAGCACUUUAAGUUGGGAGGAAGGGUUGUAGAUUAAUACUCUGCAAUUUUGACGUUACCGACAGAAUAAGCACCGGCUAACUCUGUGCCAGCAGCCGCGGUAAUACAGAGGGUGCAAGCGUUAAUCGGAAUUACUGGGCGUAAAGCGCGCGUAGGUGGUUUGUUAAGUUGGAUGUGAAAUCCCCGGGCUCAACCUGGGAACUGCACUCAAAACUGACUGACUAGAGUAUGGUAGAGGGUGGUGGAAUUUCCUGUGUAGCGGUGAAAUGCGUAGAUAUAGGAAGGAACACCAGUGGCGAAGGCGACCACCUGGACUAAUACUGACACUGAGGUGCGAAAGCGUGGGGAGCAAAC
rnacentral:rRNA from 1 species